rnacentral:rRNA from 1 species
GCCAGACUCCUACGGGAGGCAGCAGUGGGGAAUAUUGGGCAAUGGGCGCAAGCCUGACCCAGCAACGCCGCGUGAAGGAAGAAGGCUUUCGGGUUGUAAACUUCUUUUAUUCGGGACGAAGAAAGUGACGGUACCGAAUGAAUAAGCCACGGCUAACUACGUGCCAGCAGCCGCGGUAAUACGUAGGUGGCAAGCGUUAUCCGGAUUUAUUGGGUGUAAAGGGCGUGUAGGCGGGAAUGCAAGUCAGAUGUGAAAGGUGGGGGCUCAACCCCUAGAGUGCAACUGAUACUGUAUAACUUGAGUGUGAGAGAGGGAAGCGGAAUUCCUAGUGUAGCGGUGAAAUGCGUAGAUAUUAGGAGGAACACCAGUGGCGAAGGCGGCUUUCUGGCUCAUAACUGACGCUGAGGCGCGAAAGCGUGGGGGGCAAACAGGAUUAGAUACCCCCGUAC